rnacentral:rRNA from 1 species
UACAGAGGUCUCAAGCGUUUGUUCGGAUUCAUUGGGCGUAAAGGGUGCGUAGGCGGCGCGGUAAGUCGGGUGUGAAAUCUCGGAGCUUAACUCCGAAACUGCAUUCGAUACUGUCUGGCUCGAGUGUGGAAGAGGUUGGUGGAACUGCAAGUGUAGAGGUGAAAUUCGUAGAUAUUUGCAAGAACACCAGUGGCGAAGGCGGCCAACUCGGUCCAUUACUGACGCUGAGAUGCGAAAAGCGUGGGGAGCAAACA